AUUGAACGCUGGCGGCAUGCCUUACACAUGCAAGUCGAACGGCAGCACGGGGGCAACCCUGGUGGCGAGUGGCGAACGGGUGAGUAAUGCAUCGGAACGUGCCCAGUAGUGGGGGAUAACCAGUCGAAAGACUGGCUAAUACCGCAUACGACCUACGGGUGAAAGCGGGGGACCGUAAGGCCUCGCGCUAUCGGAGCGGCCGAUGUCUGAUUAGCUAGUUGGCGGGGUAAGGGCCCACCAAGGCGACGAUCAGUAGCUGGUCUGAGAGGACGACCAGCCACACUGGGACGGGGACACGGCCCAGACUCCUACGGGAGGCAGCAGUGGGGAAUUUUGGACAAUGGGCGCAAGCCUGAUCCAGCCAUGCCGCGUGCGGGAAGAAGGCCUUCGGGUUUUAAACCGCUUUUGGCAGGAACGAAACGGCGCAAGCCAAUACCUUGCGCUAAUGACGGUACCUGCAGAAUAAGCACCGGCUAACUACGUGCCAGCCGCCGCCGUAAUAC
rnacentral:rRNA from 1 species